GCACUCUGUGUGGGGAACAUGAGAGCCAGACCAAAGCUCAGAGGAACCAGCCUGGACCUCCACCCAGCUCUGUGUCCUGUAAGAGUGACGUGUCUAAAGAUGCCAUCAUUUGGUUUAAAGUCUCUGCUGCAGAGAGAGGUCAGAGGUCACAGUCUGCAGGAUCCAGCUGUCCGUCUGUGAGGAGUGAUGAGUCCAAAGAUUACCCUCCACUCUUCAGUGCUGAACCUGGACAAACGAGGUCAGAGAACUGUGAUGACUCCUUUACAU